rnacentral:rRNA from 1 species
UACGUAGGGUGCGAGCGUUAAUCGGAAUUACUGGGCGUAAAGCGUGCGCAGGCGGUUUUGUAAGCCAGAUGUGAAAUCCCCGGGCUCAACCUGGGAAUGGCAUUUGGGACUGCAAGGCUGGAGUACGGCAGAGGAGACUGGAAUUCCUGGUGUAGCAGUGAAAUGCGUAGAUAUCAGGAGGAAUACCGAUGGCGAAGGCAGGUCUCUGGGCUGAUACUGACGCUGAGACGCGAAAGCGUGGGGAGCAAACAGG